rnacentral:lncRNA from 1 species
UUUGAUUUCACUAUUUGUAUGUAUUGUUUUGACAAUUCAUUGAUUACGCUUUAUUAGCCAAGUAUUAACCACGUUAGUUACAAGUUUUUGUAUGAUCACAAUUAUCUCAAUUAAAGACCAUCUCUAUAAUGGUAGUCGCACUUGUUCAACUUGAUUGAGAUAAUAGAUGUCCCAUAAUCAAUAAAGAAUUCCGUCAGAGUACUUCAAAGUUCAGAGCAAUUAAGCAUAACAGCACCUGCUAGUCUCUUUCUAGUCCACUAUGUCAAUAAGGUAAACUGUAGCUGCUGCGAAGAAUCAUUUAUUUAUUCCAGUCCUUCACAUUUCCGUUUGGUUCCAUUUCUUUUUGUUCUCCCACUUAUUCUCCAAAUAGAUGAACCAACAUUUCCACUCCUUCGCCGUCUAUCACAACCAUUGCACAUUUUCUUCUGUCACCUUCUCCUCUUUAUCUUUUUGCUCAAUUAUCCAUCCACCUAAAAUUCAAUGAAGUGGCAUAUGUAUACACAGACACACACAGAGAGAGACGGAAAGAGAGAGUUAAGGAAAGUGUUUAAAAGACUUGAAUACAACCUAGAAAAUUUCAGCACGAGGAUAAUACUUCAACUACCACUUAGCAUAAAAUCCUAAGCACGUCAUAUGGAUCUUUGUUAUACUAAAAGCUAUCAAACUAAAGAAUAAAAAAAUUUCUAGUUAAGGGAAGUGUUUAAUGGGGCUUGAAUAUAAAGCAUUUCUUUCCAUUCUGAUAGACUAAAAAAUGGAGAGAACUCCGAAGUGACAUUAUCUGUUUUACAAAACAACACAUCACACAUGAACCAAGGACCACCUACCGUAUCAAUUUGAUAGACUUUACACUGGAAGAAUAGUCAUCCCCCUUCAAAUUCUCUAUAGGUCUGCUAAGUUUAGACUUCCUUUGCACUCUAGAACUUAAAGAUUGUGAUUUUUAACAAAUAUUACAUGUGGAUUAUAGUACAUACCAGAAAACUUAGGCACUAAAUAUGAAUUAAAUCAUUCUGGUGAUUCCAUAUAUACAUAUAUUUCAUAUCUGGUUGAAAUUCACUUCACUGCUUUAAUCAUCUAAUCAUGCAUUGUCACAGCAGAUAUAUUCUCAAAAAGCCACAUGUAACAAACAUUGGGUGUUCAGUUAAGAGAUCGAAAGGGCGACCACGCCUCUCUACAGUGUACACUUCAAUCAGAAGAGACCUAGAGGGCGACCAUGCGUCUCUACAGCUCAAGGGACGCUUCAAUCGGUUAAGAUGCCUAGAGGGUGACCACGAGGCUCUACAGCUCAGGUACAUAUCAAUGUAUUCUUAUUUUCAUUUAAACAGUUACAUUUCCACAAAGCUCCACAAUUUUGGAUUCGAACAAUUACAUCUAUUUGAAGUGAUGAAGUUUUUAGUACAUGUUGGCAUAUCACGAGCAUCAGAAUUUUGCAAUUUGCAUACAUGGUAAAGUGCCAAUAAAGUUUAUCUAUUAACCAAUUGUAGUCCUUCUGCACUUUGACAAGAUUGAUAGGAUGGUAUCUUUUGUGAAACUUUCUUCCCGCCUCCUAAAGAGCUCAACAUGAUCCUUUCUCCAAAUUAAAUUUAUAUACUUCGUUUCACUAGCCACACAGGAUGUCAAAGUAUGUUGUAUUUCAAAAGAGAAUCUGAGUGUAGAUCUUCUUUUCUUUUUUUCUUUUUUGGGAUUAACCAUGGCAUCCGGGCUAGCUUGUGCACCUCGACUAAUUUCACGGGGUACUGCUAUCUCCCACCAGCGCAGGUAUCGGAUAACUCUGUUGACUAAGGCUUGGACACAGAGAAAAAAAUCACCUAGUGCUUUUGCCUCCGUUGGGAUUUGAACCGAGGCCUCAUGAUUCUCAACCCACUGCAUUAACCACUAGGUCACGCCCUUGGGUGCUAAAGUUUGGAUCUUUUUAUCUUUUCCUUUUCAUAAACAAUUAUAGAGGUUUUCAUUUACUGACACAAAGGAGUUGACUGCCCCUUUACAAAGUGAAAACGUAGCUAUACUACUUCAACGGCCACAAGCAGGCUGUCCUUUGCAAAGCAUUUUGAGACUAACCAAACAGCUGGAAACAUCUUCAUGUAUAACUAGUUUUUGCUCCCUCGCAAAACAAAAAGAUUUUGCAUGAACCCAUCACAUAUCUGCUAUUUGCAUCUCUUAAUCAGUUAAUCCUUAAAAACUCUAUAUUUUUUCCCAUCCAAACUCUAUGUUUUUCCCCAUCCACCAACACAUUCAAUGAUCAUUUCACAAAGUUUUUCUCUAGCUCCUAUGCAGUAUUGUUUCCUAGCCAACAAAAGAUACUUGAAACAGACGCAUGAUAGGAAAAACCCCAGCUGAAGAAAUUAUGGACCAGCACCCCAUAUUGAUGGUUAAUGUUUCAGUUUUCUCUUUGUGAUGGUCAACAUGCCAGUAGUGUCGUCAAAUGGAAUAUCCAUCUGAGUGGAGCUUUGAAUUUGCAAACUAUCUUUCCCUGUUGUUUGAGACCAUCUGUGCAAGUGAAGACCUCUGCAUGCACAGUUCAUUGGAGGCAAGCAGUAUGUAUUGCAUGUGAGAAACUCCUGUUGUAUAGUUGUUAAAGAAGCAAUUCCAAAGGCUCCUCUUAAUAAGUAGAGAAUAGAAAUAGAGCAGAAAAAAGAAAACAUAUUGUUUAUAAGUUCAAUUUAAUGUUUCAUAUAUUUUUAAGUUGUCUUCACUCUUCCAGUGUAUCAAGGAAAGAAACAUCAUCAUCCAUGUCUUUUACCUAAACACAGGCCUUUUACUUUCCUUCAUGUGCACAUAGCUGCUGCCAACAUUCUCUCUCUCUCUCUCUCUCUCUGCCAACAUUCUCUCUUUCUUACUUUAUAUGCUCCUUGCACCAUAAAUGUGCAUGCAAGGACUCUGUCGUUUAAGAAUGUGAACAGUACUUUAUGAGGAUGGAUCUUAACUUUUUGUUCAUUACUUUAUGUAGGAUAUGUCUUAGUAGAUGUUAGUAAUCAUGCUAAACUGUCAUGGUUUGUCUACAGUGUUGCCCACAUGUACUAUCUCUUGUAAUAGUUCCUGGUUCCAAAAAAGAUUAUUUUCUUAUUCUUUCUUUUGAUAAAUCAAAGUAACUUUUAAUUCUGAACCUUUAACAAAGAGGAUUUUUUUUGCAUAGGAAAGGAAAAAAGUAGGGAAUGCUCUCGGCGCACGAUAAGCCAAGGGAGGCUAGCGUGCACCAUCGAUGGCAAGGAGACGCAAACAAGCAGCGCCGGUGACUGCUGCUAUAACUCCUGUGACCUUAAGAAUGCAGAAUUUCACUCCGUUAACAUUUGGAAGUUGUCUACCACCUAGUUUCCAACCAAUUCAAGAGGAAAAGGAGCUAAGUGAGGAUGAAGAGGGGAACGGUACUCAAUGGAACAGUAAAAUUGCUAUUACUGCAAAGGAAGCUCAAAAAUCCAAAGAUCAAUUGCCAACCAGUCCAAAACGAUUGCAAUUUUCUGAAGCCGGAUCUUCAAAACCAUCUCCAUCUCCAGAUAUCACAGCCAAAGCAGAGAUAGGGAAGGUCAUGCAUGCAAAGGAGCUAAGACAACAGAACCGGAACUCACAGAUGGGGAUGAGGCUAGAGUAUAUUCCACCAAGUCAUAGAGACGGUAAGAUUGUCAUUCAAAUAGAGGAAGAAGAUGUAAGCGAGCUAAAGGAACACUGGGCGAUUGCUCUAAUUGGGUAUGUACUUAGGGAUACUCCGUAUGAGAAAUCUAUGGAGAGCUAUGUUGAAUCAGUCUGGGAUUUUGUCAAUAGACCUCAGAUCCUGUAUCACCAAGAAGGAUAUUAUGUGUUUCGAUUCACAACAGUGGAGGAAAGAUAAGCAAUCAUGCAAGCUGGGCCUUACUCAUAUCAUAACAAGCCAUUUAUUUUGCAGAACUGGGAGAGAGAUUUCCACUUUGAUCCUAAGUGUAUCACUACUAUCCCCUUGUGGAUUCACUUACCUAGCCUAUCAGCUGGGUAUUGGACUGCUGAUGCAUUAAGCAAGGUGGCUAGUGCUGUAGGUUUACCAUUGUACACUGAUAAAUUUACCGCAGAUUUGAACAAAAUUUCCUAUGCCAGAGUACUUGUGAAAGUUGGCAUCACAAAGCCACUAGUGGAGACUAUUGAGAUUCAAACUCCUACAGGUACUAGACAACAGGAAAUAGUGUAUGAAUGGAGGCCAAAAUUCUGUAAUGAAUGUUUACAUUUUGGUCAUGAUAGCUUUGAAUGCUGGAAUUCAACUAAACAGAAUGAAGAUGCUGAAUUCAAGGCCCCAAAAAGAAGGAAUAGAGGCAGAGGGAGAAAAGUUAUUCGGGAAUAGAAGCCAAAAGAACAGCAGGAACAAGAGGAGGGGAUUGGAGAGGAGAAUGAAGUACAACCUCCACUUGACAAAGACAAGCAGACCUCAGUAGAUAAACCAGACCAAAGGAGCUUGAUGAUAAAAGGAAGGAAAACAGUGAAAGACAGAAUCCUGCAGGUGUUCAGCAGGUGAUAAAUGAUGAGGCUAGCACUUCCAAUAGAUUUUCAAUAUUGGAAGAAUGUGGUGUCCAGGGAGGGGUGAAUAACUCUGAUCCUAUACAAAAACCACCAUGAUUAUCAGCACUUGGAACAUAAGAGGGCUGAACAAGCCCCAUAAACAGAAGGAACUGAGAAUCUUUCUGCAAAAGAAUAAGAUAGAUAUCCUAGGAUGUCUAGAAACUAGAGUAAAAGAAAAAAAGGCAACAAAUAUCUUGUAUAAGGUAGCUAAGGAUUGAGGUUAUUGUUAUAACUAUACUAAGGCUGAGAAUGGGAGAAUAUGGCUGUUAUGGAGAACACAUUUGACAGUAAACAUAAUUCAAGUCCAUGAGCAAUUCAUUCAUCGUCUAGUGAUGGAACCAGUGACUCGAUACAAAAUUAUGUUGGACUGUAGUGUAUGCUAGAAACAAAUUGCAAGAAAGGGCUAGUCUAUGGAAUGAUCUGCAACAGCUAGGGGGGCAGACUCAAAUCCCCUGGCUCAUACGUGGUGAUUUCAACAAUGUCCUAACCACAGAUGAUAGAUUAGGACAACCAGUCACUAUGAAUGAGGUUCAGGAGUUCAAGGAUUGUAUAGAUAAUAUGCAACUGACCCCAUUGAGGACUAAGGGAUGUUUCUUUACUUGGUGUAAUAAGCAAAGUGCAAAUGAUAGAGUAUACAGUAAGAUUGAUUGGGCUUUUGGCAAUUUUGAAUGGACUAAAGAUUAUGGGCAUGUGGAAGCUGAUUGCUUAGAACCUAGAGUGUCAGAUCACUCACCAAUCUUGGUCCAAAUAUGGAGAAGGAAUACUAUAUAUCCCAAGCCAUUCAAGUUGUACAUGGUAACAAUGGAACACAAGGAGUUUAAGCCUACUGUAGAAAGAAUUUGGAAGUAGAAGAUGGAAAAUGAUCCUAUGUCUGGUAUCUGGUUGAAGUUACAAAAGUUGAAAGAUGAGACUAGAGGGUUGAACAAGGAGAUGGCAAGUUAUGAACAGAGAUUGAUCCAGAUUAGACAGAAACUGGAGUGUACACAGGCCAAUUUGAUACUUGAUCCUUUCAACCAAGUAUGGAUGGAUCAGGAAAAGCAAACACUACGGGAUCUAGAGAAAUGGAGCAUCAUAGAGGAGAAAAUACUAAGACAGAAGGCUAGAGUUAAUUGGAUUGAUCAUGGGGAUUCAAACUCCAAGUACUUCUAUGCACAACUGAAGAUCAGAGCAAGCAAGAACACAAUUACCUCUGUAUAUAAUGAAUUGGGAGUUAAGAUCACUGACCCUAAAGCUGUAGAAAAAGAAUUCACUAGCUUUUUCAAACAGCUUAUGGGAAAAGCCACAGGUCUAAAGUCAUGUCCUAAUACCAAAUUCAUCAAAGAAGGAGAGUGCCUCUCAAUGCAACAACAACAAGACCUAAUUCAGGAUAUCACAUAUGCAGAAAUAGAUGAAGCAGUGAAGGACAUGCCAAAUGAUAAAGCCCAUGGAGUCGAUGGAUUCCCAAUAGAAUUCUUCACAAAGCAUUGGCAGGAAGUGAGACAAGAUAUAUAUGAUGAUGUGCUAUUCUUUUUCCAAACAGGCAAGAUGAAGCAGGCAUGGAACUGUACAGCCAUAACUUUGAUCCCUAAAGUUCCAGCUCCUACAACAGUGAAGGACUAUAGGCCUAUUGCUUGUUGCACCACUGUAUACAAAAUCAUUGCUAAGAUACUGACUAAAAGAAUCAAAAAGGUGAUUGAGCUUAUAAUUGGGAAAGCACAGUCUGCUUUUAUAGAAGGGAGGAGUAUUGUUGAUAAUAUCCUAUUCAGACAUGAACUCUUCAAUGGCUAUAAUAGGAAAGUCUUGUCUCCAAGAUGUGUUCUCAAGGUAGACUUAAGGAAAGCUUAUGAUUCACUGGAUUGGCAAUUUAUUAGGUACAUGCUUACUGAUCUUGGCUUCCCUCAGAAAUUCAUCCUAUGGAUAAUGGAAUGUGUGACAACAUAAUCCUACUCGUUGGUUCUAAAUGGGGGACUGGCCAAACAUUUCCCAGCUAAGAGAGGAAUAAGGCAAAGAGAUCCAAUGUCUCCUUAUCUCUUUGUGAUUGCUAUGGAAUAUUUACAAAGGGAGAUGAACCAACUGGCCAUACAAAAGGAGUUCAAAUACUAUCCUAAAUGCAAGAAGCUGGGAGCAACACACAUAUGUUUUGCUGACGAUUUGUUAAUGUUUUACAGGGGUGAUAUAAAUUCAGUUACUAAAUUACAGGAAACUUUUAAUAGAUUCUCAGUUGCAUCAGGGCUGCAAGCAAAUGCAGAAAAGAGUUCCAUAUAUAUUACUGGUAUAGCACAACACAUAAAGGAGCAAUUGAUAGAGCUUACUGGAUAUACAGAGGGCUCUUUAUCAUUUAAGUACCUGGGGGUUCCAUUGUCGCCAAGAAAGCUGAAUAUUCACCAAUGUCUAUCACUGGUAAAAAAGAUAACUGAAAGAGUAAGAUGCUGGUCAGCCAGGUUGCUUUCAUAUUCUGGGAGAAUUCAACUCAUCAAAUCUGUGCUGUUUGGAAUACAAACAUAUUGGGCUCAAAUUUUUUUGUUGCCAAAAAAGAUCAUGAAGAUGAUAAAAAUCAUAUGUAGGACCUUUUUGUGGACUGGCUCAACAGAAUGCUCAAGAAAAGCUUUGAUUGCAUGGGAUAAGUUAUGUCAGCCUAAAGCUACAGGAGGUUUGAAUGUUAUAAACAUGAAGAUAUGGAAUAAAGCAGCACUACUGAAACAUCUCCGGGCAUUGGCUAUGAAGAAAGAUACAUUGUGGAUCAAAUGGGCUCACAAUUAUUAUAUAAAGAACAAAGACAUUGCAGAAAUGGACACACCCAAAGCAGCAGCAUGGGUGAUCAGGAAGAUCAUUGAGGCAAGUGAGGAUGUGAAGCAGAUGAGGUCGGGACAGAAUAGCCUUAUAUCUACAUUGGAGACCUUAGUAAAGCAAGGCAAGUUCCAAAUCCAUAGAGCUUAUGUUCAAAUGCAUCCUCAAUUUCCAAAAGUUAUGUGGAAAAGCAUUCAUUUACAUACACAUAUUCAUCCUAGAUUCAAAUUUCACCUAUGGCUGGCUAUUCAUCAAAGGCUAGCAACAGUAGAUAGACUCAUGAAAUUUGGAAUUCAAGCUCCAUUAGAAUGUGUGUUCUGUGCAACCAACAUGGAAGCUUUUGAGCAUCUAUACUUUGGCUGUCCAAAAACUCACAAACUAUGGGACAGAGUAUUGAAAUGGCUUGGCAUCACAAGACAGAUAGGAAGCUGGCAAGAUGAGCUGAAUUGGAUGAGCAGAUUGGCAAGUAGGAAGAACUGUAAAGCAGAAAUGACUACAGCAACUUUCGCGAUGGUAGUUUACUGUAUUUGGCGCGAAAGGAACUCGAUUAGAUUCAACAAAGGCAGAUAUAACAUGGAUGAAGUAUGCAAGGAAAUUGCUAUGCAUAUACACAUACAAGGGAGAAAGAAGACCAAAUGGCAAAAGGAAUUGGAGAGCUUAAACAAUUUUCCUUAGGCGAGAUAUAGUCACUAUGAAGUAGUGUAGAUCAGUGUUAUGUAUGUAAAUAGUUAAUAGGAGAUUAAUGGUCAGCAUUAAUCUGGAUAUGUAAUGACAGUUUUUUGAUGAAAUAAAAUGUUAGUUUUAUCAAAAAAAAAAAAAGUAACUUUUACUUGUUCCAAAAAGAUUAUAUUGCCUUCACUUUUCUUCUGUCCUAAGCUUUCUAGUUUCUAUUUUAAACCAUUUUCAUAAAUAUAUCAUAUUUUGAAUAUUAUACUCUUCGAAAGUUAUAUGGUAUCUGUAAAAUGUUGACAUCUCUGUUGCACCCACAUCAAAACAAUUCUCCUUGUACCCAAAAAUAAAAGAAAAUUAAGAAGAGUAGUAACUUUUAACUCUACGCUUAGAUCCCCUUGUCUGAGGGUUUUGUUGAGGAAACAAGUAGAUUUUAUUGGUUCGGACCGAUACAGUCCUGGUGGAUCGGGGAGGCUAAGGAAAUUUGAAGUUACAAGCAACGAGAAAAAUAAAUGCAAUAGCUAAAUGGUGACGGGCAAUAUCAGUCACCCAUAAACUUUGCAUUUGUGGAUGGAAUCCCCCCGUAUCAUUUCCAAAAUUUUGCCUAGACAGAUAUGCCUUAUUUACAAGAUGGAAGAUCCGCUGAUAUGGUCUUAUGAACUGAGCACUUCUGGGUUUAGAAGAGAAGAAGGUAAACAAUGACAAAGAGUUGAUUGUUAGUAAACUUGGAGUUUUGGUGGCUGGAUUAAUAUCCAAGUGUAACGGCAAUUCCUAUGGAUGUUAUUUGUAGGUAGUAUUAGAAAAGGAUGCAGUUAAGACCUGGUCUUUUUUUUCAGAAAAUCACUUGCAUGGGAUUUGGUUAAGACCUACUUACAACAUUAGGUUCUCUUUUCCAUAAGCAAAGUAAUUUUCUUAAUAAAACUACACCAGAUAGUGCAGGUAAGACUACAGCGGAGGACUAGUCUGACUCCUUCUAUGACUGCAAGGAAUCAAUAAUCAAGAAUGCCAUCUAUCAUGUUUACGCUUUACAGGACUCAACUUAUACCAAAAAUGAAGAUUUUGAAGACAUUUCUACUUUUAUCACAAGCUAUAGUACCCCCUACUCCAUCAAAACAUCUAUGGUUCCUGAAACACAAAGGGGAAUUGUUCUCAAACCUAGUCUUUGGCCUUGUCAGCUGCAUAAUGUUUCUCUCAAGCUUCCAGGCAUACGCAUAUCCGCCAGAUCUGAUUGUCGUGUAGGAAAAAGUGAUUCACAGUCUCUAUUGAAGAUUUACAAAAUAACACCUGUUAUAUAACCUGAAUCCUCUUCUCAGCAGAUUAUCCUGUGUUAAGCAUGCAUAAUGUAAACCAGUUCAUCCAAAAUAUACCACAUUGGUGGAGCUUUUGUUCUCCAUAACAUUUUCCAAGUCCACUGUACUUCAUUCCGUAGAAUUCAGAUUUGACAGCUGCUCCAAGCAUGAAUUCACUGAAAACUUCCCACCUGCCUUAGCUGUCCAGAACAAUGAAUCAACCACAUCAUCUUGAAUCAACACAGGUUUCAGUUUCUCAAACAAUAGAUUGACCCUUUCAACUUCCCAAUCAUAAAAAAUAUCCUCCUGAACUAUAUAUACCAUCCUCGUGGACUAUAUAUUACAAAUACCUCCUUUGUGCUGAGAAUCAGCAAUAAAGUACCUUCCUCUUCUUUUCCUUUGUCUAUUUUAUCAUUUCAAUUACUGAAAUUCUCUCUGUCAUAGUUCUGCCCCAACUUACAGCGAUUAACACUUCAUGGUAAUUGAGGUCUACUGACUAAAAUCACCCUUCACCGGGUGAAAGUCGUUGGAGCAAAUAAGUACUAUAUGUGAUAUUGGGCAUGGAGAUGUAAGAAAAUAUAGAAUCAAUUUAUCAACUACAUGUCAAUCCCACAGUUGGAAUCGGUUUAGACGAAUCCUCUAUAUCCAUUCUGCUCAAUUCAGUUCCGCAAGGAUUCAUCAUAAACUAAUUUUAUUACUUGCCGUCAAUCUAUCACAACCACCUUUUUUAUCCAGGAUAGGGAGUAGGAACAGGCUAUGCUUUGCAAGCUCAUAUAGACGGAAUUUCCAGAAAAAGAAGUUUAAAAUAAAAAAAAUAAAAAGGUAACUUUCUUUCACUCAGUUCAAACUAACAAAUACACUAUAGUGACUCUGCAUCUGAACUGGCACAGAACAAUAUGAUCUUUAUCAAACUCAAGGGAAUACAAAAAGAAGUUUUAAUUCCUUAAUUGUCAUUAAAAAGAAAAGCUUAUAUACAUUCAUUGAUUUUAAAAUACUUAUCUUAAACACUUAAAUUGACACCUGUCACCAAUCCGACCCUUUUGGGUACGCAUAGAAUAUGAUCAUAGCCACACCCAUAACCUUUGACUUAAACCAUAUAUAUUGUUAAACAAUUUGGGGGGGGGGAAACAAAAACUAACAGCUUGUUUGGAUGGUUGUUCCCCAUUGUAUCGUAUUAUACUGUUAUCACAAAACAAUGUUUGUUUUGAUUGUUUCAUUAAAAUUGGUUGUAUUGUAUUGUUAAAUCUAUUGUUCCGGAACAGUGAAAAGUCCCCUUUUUUGAAAUAACCAAUUUGGUGUGGUGGGAUUGUUUCCUUUUUUUUUCAAUUAUGGCCUUACUUAUUACUCCACAAUUCUAUUUUACCCUUUACCUUUUUUGCUAUUUUAACUCCAAAUCUCCAACCUAUAAUCUGCUUUAUUUUUUUCCAGAACUUCUGCCGCCUUCUGUUUUAUUUUUUCUCCUAAUUUGCUUUUAACUCAAUUCUAAUUAGUUGUGCUCCUUUGUUUUGCCUUUUUCUGUCUCGCUACUUUGUUCUACUUUCUUAAGGUGUUUUGCCUUCUUCUGUUUUGUUUUUUAAAUUAUUUUUAUGCAUAAUUUUUGAUAAAUUUAAUAUUUAAACAAUUGAGGGUAUUUUACUAAACUUAUCAGUUACAAUACAGUACGAUACAAUCAAACCAAACAGCAAAAUAUUUUUUAACAAGAACAAACAAUACAAUAUAUCCAAACAUUGUAUUCAUAAAACGAUACGAUACAAUACAAUACAUUACAAAACGAUGCAGAAGAAUGAUCCAAACAUAGUGUAAGUUCACGCCAAACCCCACAAAUUAGUAGUCCAUGUGGAAAUAUUUUAAAGGCUUUGGACAAGUGUCUAAGCCAUUCUAGAAGGCUAUGCUAAGUGGCAAACUUGAUCAGCCACUUUCUUGCCAUGCACAACAAAUUUACAUGCAAUUACAAUUAUAAAUAGCCAUCAUUUGGCUGCACAAUUCAUCCACCAUCAGAAGUGCUUUUCUACUUGGCCCUUCUUCUCUUUCUCUCUUAGCUUCCCUUAUUUCCAUUUCUUUGUCCUAUUCUCUUUUCAAUAUUGUUGGAUUAUUGUUAUAUAAAUAUUUUGAUGAUUCUCUAAAUAAAAUAGAGGUAAGCUUGUUUAAUCGUGGAGAAACAUUUCACAUUGCUGAAAUAGUUUAUUAGGACAAUGCCCAGUAUGACUCAAGUUAAUUCCUGUAUCUACCUACAAAGAAUAUUGAAACAGUGUUAUUGAAAUUCUUGCUCUCAAUUACUACACUCCAAAUCAUACUCUAUCUUUUUAAUUAGUUGGUAAAACGACAACGUAUUAUACCGAAAAUGCAGACAAGAAGCGAACCGUCGAUGGACCCAUAAUAAUAAUAAUACUUGCUUGAAAUUUGUGUAUGUAGUAUAAUAUAUAUGAGAGGAAAGCAGUACCUGUGAGCUCUUCAAUCUUCUACAGGAUAUAACUCAAUGAAGAAAAACUCUGGGCAUAAUAAGCUAAUUUGAAUUCUUCCUUGGCUAAUUGCCUUUUUC